AGAAGAGACACCCUGUAUUUUCUUCUUUAAGAAUCACUCUCCAAACCCUGUGUUUUUUGCAGGAUAGAGGCAGAUUUGGGUUCAAGUUGGAAGCAAGACCUAAGAGUACAAAAACUGAAAUAAGAUUGACUGGUUCUUUAAAAAUAAUGAAAAGGCUUCAAGAACAUGGAAGAAGCAAAUAUUAGAAUGACUCAGUCAAUAAAAAUGCAUAAAGUGCCUGCUUUGUGCCAGGGACUGUGAUGGAGUUAAGAUCAAAAUGGUCCUGUCAUCAUCCUGGCAACAUUCUGAAGACUUUGGGGUAGAUGAGCCACGUAUUGGUAUUUUGAGUGCUUUACAGAUAACAUUUUCAUCUGGAUCAAACUGAGAAAAACGGCCUCUGGAGAAAUGAGUAAUGAAUGAAGAAAAAUAAAAAAGAAAGGGCAUAUCACUAAGUAUGGCGUUGCCUAAGCUCACUCCUGUAAAUAUCACACAUUAUUGAUGACUAAUAAUGAAUACAAAGAUUGGGAAAUACAUUGUAAAUAUCAGCUACUGCAAUGGGAAUAAAUGGCAAAGGG